CUGGAGGCCACGCUACGGGCUCGACGGGCCCCGUGAGGCGGGGGCGGGACCCUCAGGCGCUGCAAGGGGUGCGGCAGAGUCCCCCGCAGGUCGCGACGGCUGCGGGAGCCGGCCACGAGAGUGGUGAAGGAGCUGUAUUUGUACAGGUGAAAAACCUGAGGCAUGAUGACUUAUUCCAGUUGGCACAGCUAGCAAAUGGGUCAGACAGCACUCCAACCACCACACUGCCCUCUGGUCCGUCCCUGCUACCUCUGGCUAUUUUAGGAGGGCCACAUGGUGCCCCAGAAAGAGCACCCAAGCCAGAACCUCUCUGAGAUGUAGGGCCUGGUGUUCCAGCCACACACUUUCUGUCUGUGUAACUCGGGGAGCUCUCUCUGGGAAACUGCCCCUUGCUUCACCCACUCCUG
rnacentral:lncRNA from 10 species